UACAGCCGUGGCGAGGCACUCAACCACCCUCUUCUCCGUACACCACCUCCGCCCACUCUCAUACACACAUACUCGAAUCCGGCCUCGUAUGUCUGCCAACGUGCUGGCGUAUCGUCCACUGGCUGGGCCGGUGAUCGCCAUCACGCACCGCAUUGCCAUGCGUGACAGCCACACAAUACCACAGCUCGGUUUUGGCACGUAUCGCCUGCCCGCCUCGAAGGCCACUGAUGCCGUCGCUUUUGCACUCUCCUGCGGCUACCGUCACGUGGACUGCGCCAAGGCGUACGGCAACGAGGCUGCCGUCGGGGCGGCGCUCGCACAGGCGCUGCGCACCCGGUGCACCCGCCGCGAGGACCUUUUCGUUACGUCGAAGCUGUGGCCGACGGACCAGCACCCCGACCACGUCGAGGCCGCCUGCCGCGCCACCCUCGCAGCAUUGCAGCUCGACUACCUCGACCUGUACCUUAUCCACUGGCCUGUGUGCAUGCGGCACACGCCGCAUUGGACCUCAGACGAGGACCGCUACCCCCGCCACCGCGACGGCACCCCCGCCAUCGACACCUCGGUGACGUUGCUCGACACGUGGACGGCCAUGAACAGGCUGGUGGACUGUGGACUGGUGAAGUCGAUUGGGCUGGCCAACUGCACCACCGCCCAUGUGAACGACCUCGUGAAGGCGGUCGCAGAGGCGAAACUAGCCCACCUGCCCGUACUCAACCAAGUCGAGCACCACCCCGGUAUCGUGGACGGCGAUCUGAUAGGCUGCCUCGGCUCCCACGACAUGCUGAUGGCGGCCUACUGCCCACUCGGCAUGCCGACCCGUGACACCCCGCCGGGCUUCCAGUCCCUCCUGGACGACCCCGUACUGCGGUCGCUGAGCGCGUUCAGCGGCUUCAGCCCGGCGCGACUUUUGCUGAACUGGAACGUCGACCGCCACAACGUCGUGAUCGUGAAGUCCGCCAACCAGGAGCACAUCAAGUCUAACGCCAAGGCAGCACGCUUCGCGCUAGACGACCGGACGCGGCUGGUGCUGAACAACUACCACCUCCUCGUGCGCAACUUCCGCGUCAUGAAUCCGACGCACUUUAGCGCUGACGGCGCGACGCCGUUUUUCGCAGCUGAGGAUGCGCGCUUGCAACGCGAAAUCGACGCCUACAGGUCGACAAGGACGGGAACGACGACAACGCCGCCAUCGCCGCGUUCUUGACCGGGAGGGCAAGUACAUCAGUAUAUAUGCGUGUGCGUGCGUCUGUGCCCCCCUCUCGAUGUUCGGGGUAGAUGAUGUGGCCGAGCGCGUGUAUGCCGGUGCGUAUGUGCUUGUGCGCUUCACACAGUCCCUCGAGCAUAUCUCCAUCCUCUCUUUGUGCCCGGUGCAUGUGCCGUGCACUGCGCUUCGGCGUGACAGCCGGUGCCCCUGCGUCUCGUGCGACGCUCCCAGCCUGUAGUGAUGAUAACGGUGAUGCGUGUGCGUGUGCGUGUGCGCAGCGCCCGUUGACACUUGUGUCUUCACCUCUGCAUCCUUCUUUCUUCUCUCUCGCCGUUCUCUGCCAG
rnacentral:misc_RNA from 1 species